rnacentral:rRNA from 1 species
CUACGGGUCGCUGCAGUGAGGAAUAUUGCACAAUGGGGGGAACCCUGAUGCAGCAACGCCGCGUGGAGGAUGACGCAUUUCGGUGUGUAAACUCCUUUUAUAUGUCGAGAAAAUGACGGUAGCAUAUGAAUAAGCGCCGGCUAACUCCGUGCCAGCAGCCGCGGUAAUACGGAGGGUGCAAGCGUUACUCGGAAUCACUGGGCGUAAAGGACGCGUAGGCGGGUUGGAAAGUCAGGUGUGAAAUCCUACAGCUUAACUGUAGAACUGCACUUGAAACUUCUAAUCUAGAGUAUGGGAGGGGGAGAUGGAAUUAGUGGUGUAGGGGUAAAAUCCGUAGAUAUCACUAGGAAUACCUAAAGCGAAGGCGAUCUCCUGGAACAUUACUGACGCUAAGGCGUGAAAGCGUGGGGAGCAAACAGGAUUAGAUACCCCGGUAGUC